rnacentral:rRNA from 1 species
CAGUAGCCGCGGGAAAACGUAGGUGGCAAGCGUUGUCCGGAAUUAUUGGGCGUAAAGGGCUCGCAGGCGGUUUCUUAAGUCUGAUGUGAAAGCCCCCGGCUCAACCUGGGAAUUGCUUCCGAGACUGAGCGGCUAGAGUACGGUAGAGGGCGGUGGAAUUUCCGGUGUAGCGGUGAAAUGCGUAGAUAUCGGAAGGAACACCAAUGGCGAAGGCAGCCGCCUGGGCCUGUACUGACACUGAGACACGAAAGCGUGGGGAUCAAACAGGAUUAGAUACCCCCGUAGUCCCUGUCUCUUAUAC